CAUGCCAGCCUGAAAGCACCGGAUCUCCUCUGAUCUUGGAAACUAAGCACUCCUAGGCAUGGGCAGUUCUUGAACAGGAGACCACAGUGGAAUCCCAAGCAUGA
rnacentral:rRNA from 1 species